UACGAAGGAUCCAAGCGUUAUCCGGAUUUAUUGGGUUUAAAGGGUGCGUAGGCGGCCCGUUAAGUCAGUGGUGAAAGCCUCCAGCUCAACUGGAGAACUGCCAUUGAUACUGACGGGCUUGAGUACAGACGAGGUUGGCGGAAUUGAUUGUGUAGCGGUGAAAUGCAUAGAUACAAUCAAGAACACCGAUUGCGUAGGCAGCUAACUAGGCUGUAACUGACGCUGAGGCACGAAAGCGUGGGGAGCGAACAGG
rnacentral:rRNA from 1 species